rnacentral:rRNA from 1 species
CACGUAGGGGGCGAGCGUUGUCCGGAUUCAUUGGGCGUAAAGCGCGCGCAGGCGGCUCGGAAAGUCGGAUGUGAAAACUCGGGGCUCAACCCCGGGCGUGCAUCCGAUACUGCCGGGCUUGAGGCAGGUAGGGGAGAUCGGAAUUCCUGGUGUAGCGGUGAAAUGCGCAGAUAUCAGGAGGAACACCGGUGGCGAAGGCGGAUCUCUGGGCCUGUCCUGACGCUCAGGCGCGAAAGCUAGGGGAGCGAACAGG